rnacentral:rRNA from 1 species
UACGAAGGGGGCUAGCGUUGUUCGGAAUUACUGGGCGUAAAGGGCGCGUAGGCGGCUUGACAAGUUGGGUGUGAAAGCCCAGGGCUCAACCCUGGAAUUGCACUCAAGACUGUCUUGCUUGAAUUCGGUAGAGGUUGGUGGAAUUCCCAGUGUAGAGGUGAAAUUCGUAGAGAUUGGGAAGAACACCCGUGGCGAAGGCGGCCAACUGGACCGACAUUGACGCUGAGGCGCGAAAGCGUGGGGAGCAAACAGGAUUAGAUACCCUGGUAGUCCACGCCGUAAACGAUGCAUGCUAGACGUUGGAGGGCUUAGCUCUCUUGUGUCGCAGCUAACGCACUAAGCAUGCCGCCUGGGGAGUACGGCCGCAAGGUUGAA